rnacentral:rRNA from 1 species
CUACGGGAGGCAGCAGCAAGGAAUUUUGUGCAAUGGGCAAAACUGCACACAACRACGCCGCGUGGGGGAUGACGGCCUUCGGGUUGUAAACCCUUUUCUCAGGGAAGAAAAAUGACGGUACCUGAGGAAUAAGUCUCGGCUAACUACGUGCCAGCAGCCGCGGUAAUACGUAGGAGGCAAGCGUUAUCCGGAUUUACUGGGCGUAAAGCGGGCGUAGGCGGUCUUUCAAGUCGAAUGUAAAAUCUCCUGGCUCAACUGGGAGGGACCAUUCGGUACUGUUGGACUGGAGGACAGGAGAGGGAGGUAGAAUUCCCGGUGUAGUGGUGAAAUGCGUAGAUAUCGGGAGGAAUACCAGUGGCGAAGGCGGCCUCCUAGGCUGUUUCUGACGCUGAGGCCCAAAAGCGUGGGGAGCAAACAGGAUUAGAUACCCUGGUAGUCCACGCUGUAAGCAAUGGACACUAGGUAUGGGGAGUAUCGACCCUCUCUGUGCCGAAGCUAACGCAUUAAGUGUCCCGCCUGGGGACUACGGCUGCAAGGCUAAAACUCAAAUGAAUUGACGG